UGCUAACACCUGGCCUCUUUUUUCUUGUUACCACAUUUUUGCACACAAUAAAUAAAUCCUUGAGUUUAAGCUCCUCCUUGUAAAAAUAGCAGAAAAAAAUAUUUUCUAAAAUACCAUCAAGAAGAGAUAAAUAAAAGAAAAGUGGGUUGGGUUGGGUUCUUGAUCUUGUUAAAGAUCUUGAGUUGUAGUGGUACUUGUGCUGCCACUUUGUUGUGUUACUAGUCAUGAAGAGACUUAGCAGUUCUGAUUCUUUGGGUGCUUUGAUGUCCAUCUGUCCAACAACAGGUGCUUACUUAUCACUCUCUUUACAUUUUUUUUAAUUUUAUUGCACUUUUUAUUUAUUCUUCUUGAUUAUACCCAUUUCAUGUUUUCUUGUCUCAUGUUUCCAACUUCAUUUUGUGCUCAUAAAUGUGGCUUUAGUGUUGUAUGCUUGAGUUUUGGUAGAUCAAGUGUGUGUGUGUGUGUUUCCCAAUUUAGUAACUUUACAUGAUUUUGAAUCAUCUUGAUUUCCUUUCCUAGUUUUGGUUUGUUUGUGUGUGCUCCCAGUUUAGUAAGUUUACAUGAUUCAGAGUGAUCUUAGUUUCCUUUACUAGUUUGGUUAGUAAGUUUGUUCCCAAUUAAGUAACUUUACAUACUUGCACUUAGCUUAAUUGCUUAAGAUUAAGGUUUGGCUGAUAUUUAUAAUUGAUGUUUGAU
rnacentral:lncRNA from 1 species